CGCUCGGCGGGGCUCCCUUCUGGUGAGACGGUAUGCUCUUAACUGGGUGUGCCGAGGAACCAGGACUCUUACUUUGAAAAAAUUAGAGUGUUUAAAGCAGGCAUUUGCUUGAAUACAUUAGCAUGGAAUAAUAGAAUAGGACCUCGGUUCUAUUUUGUUGGUUUCUAGGACCGAAGUAAUGAUUAAUAGGGAUAGUUGGGGGCAUUAGUAUUUAGUAGCUAGAGGUGAAAUUCUUGGAUUUAUGAAAGACUAACUUCUGCGAAAGCAUUUGCCAAGGAUGUUUUCAUUAAUCAAGAACGAAAGUUAGGGGAUCGAAGACGAUCAGAUACCGUCGUAGUCUUAACCAUAAACUAUGCCGACUAGGGAUCAGACGACGUUAAUUUACUGACUCGUUUGGCACCUUAUGAGAAAUCAAAGUUUUUGGGUUCCGGGGGGAGUAUGGUCGCAAGGCUGAAACUUAAAGGAAUUGACGGAAGGGCACCACCAGGAGUGGAGCCUGCGGCUUAAUUUGACUCAACACGGGGAAACUCACCAGGUCCAGACAUAGUAAGGAUUGACAGAUUGAGAGCUCUUUCUUGAUUCUAUGGGUGGUGGUGCAUGGCCGUUCUUAGUUGGAGGAGUGAUUUGUCUGCUUAAUUGCGUUAACGAACGAGACCUUAACCUGCUAAAUAGUUAUGCCAACUUUGGUUGGUAGUCAACUUCUUAGAGGGACUGUCAGCGAUUAGCUGACGGAAGUUUGAGGCAUAACAGGUCUGUUAUGCCUUAGAUGUCCUGGGCCGCACCGCGCUCACUGAUGAAUCAACGAUC
rnacentral:rRNA from 1 species